GCGGGUGUAGUUCAACGGUAGAACCUCAGCCUUCCAAGCUGAUGACAUGGGUUCGAUUCCCAUCACCCGCUCCA
rnacentral:tRNA from 1 species